rnacentral:lncRNA from 1 species
UCUGCUUCUCCUUCCAAGUCAAACAAAUGCUCAUGCCACACAAUUUUAUUUUUGCAGCUUCGGCUCUCAGUGGCAUCUAUGGAGGAAGUCAAGUACUGACUAGCUUCAUGGAGGCUUUCCACGUUCUCAGAGUCUACGGACAAAUGAACACAAACCACUGGGAGAUGCCCUGCCAGACAGAGAUGAAUAGGACGGCCGGCGGGCGCGCGCUGCUGGGCACAGCCCCAGGCUCAGCGCUCAGAAGGACUGCUGCUGACCCACCAGUGGUGUCCUGUGCAGCUGGAAGCAGAGCUCCCCAGUGAGAUGAGAGACCACUCCUCCAUGUGGAUUCAUGUCAGCACCAUGUGGCUUUGGGAGAAAGAACCUCAAACCCUGAGUUAAAUGUGGGAAGAAUUCGGAGAUGAGGAGAUUAAGAAAGGGUGCAGACUGCAGGUUAAGAAAGAUCUGUGUCAUGGCAAGGGAUGGCUGAACUAUUGUUUUGGUGUUAAUUACUGAAUAUGAAACAUGAACGUCUGUUUUUGCUGUGAUUUCUUAACCUGAGUCUGCAACUGCUUUUUAUACUUUUCAUUUUUUGACAGCUAGGGAAAAGACACCCUUUGGUAUGCUGGGCAACCUCAAGGCAAAGGCAAAUGCUUCCAAACCAGCUAACAGUAACAGCUGUCUGAGGUUUUGCCCAUAGGAUGGGUGGUGUCUCACACAGCAAAGAUAUGAAAGAUUUGUGCUGUACUGAGCUUGGAAAAGUGCUUUCUUGAGCAGGGGCACAACCAGCCCCUCUAUGUACUCUGUGAGCCAUGAAAGACAUUGUUUGUUGCCCAAGCCUCGACCUGGACCUUGAGCAUGUGGAGUUCUCUGCCUGCUGCCACCACCUCUACAACUGAGUGUAACCAGCCAAGCUGGAGCCAGUGCUCAUCUGCAUCUCAGCUUCACCUCACCCCAAUGUGAAGAGCUGGCCACGAGAACACUUUUUGUUCAUU